CAGAGAGAGUGGUGAGGUGCUGGAACAGGCUGCCCAGAAAGGCUGUGGAUGUUCCAUUCCUGGAGGUGUUCAAGCCCAGAUGUAUAACAAGGAUUUCUUCAUAAGACAGAGGACUGAUGGCAUUUCCUGUUUUUUUGUUUGCUUGCUUGAUUUCAAAACUAAGCAUGUAAUAUAUAUGGACUAUGUGAAAUAGACAUCAUGGUGAAGUAAGCUCAAUUAAUUCAAGAACAUGAUUGUUACAUCCAAAGACCACACAAGACAAUUCCAAGGCAGAAUUGAUCCUAUUGCAUCAGUAACUCCAGCAGAGGAUUAAAGGGAUUAAAGAGUAAGGGAGCUACCUGCACCUACAUCUAACCUCUGAGUGUGUAUACUUCUACUGAUGGUUGGUAGCAUUCACCUGAAACAAAGAACCAGUUUGUCUCCUGGUGAUAGGCAAAUGGUAAAUAAGACUUUGUAUUUGUGUCCAGAAUAACACAAACCUCUUACAACACCAAACUGUUGUUAUAGUAACAAGGAGACAACCAUGCCUUAAAAUAGCCAAUGAUGAGUUGAGAUUAUCAAUAAUAUUUUCCCACCUGAUUUUCAGAGAAGCACCAUUCAAAUGAAUCCAGCUGGCCUGCUCAGCCAUGAUUCUGGUCUUUUGGCUAUCUAACUAGUAUUUUUAAAUGUUAUUCUGAAUAAGAACUCAGAAACUGCCAUUUCUGGAUAAACCUGUGGGAGUGAAUAAACUGAGUGGGAGAACCUGGCUUUACCAUUAGGAGCUGGUGGAAGGUAUGGACUGCUACUUUUUCUUUGCAUUUGAAAGACAAGCAGAAAGUGUUUCUAGAAAAUCAUUUUUUAACUCUUGUAGCAGUCAGAUAGUCUUGCUGUGUACUUCCUAAUAAAUUAAUAAAAAGAAUAUGUUCCUAGAAAUCCAUAUCAGUCCUUUAAUAAGCAAAGAACAUCACGUGUGUGAGAUGCUAAGUACUGAGGGAGCUUAUCACUCUGCAGAAGAGGAUUUUCUGUCUUCUUUCUUGUAGGAGGACUCAGUGAAAGCUCUUGGGCUCCUUGGUUCUCUUCUCAGGCUCCUUCUAUCACAGCACUUGCCUCUAUACAUUUAUUAAAACAAAGUUAUAAGCAAAGACAAAACAUGGACAUCCACAACAGAAAUGCUGAAGCUGAUGGUGAGCAGAUGAAAGAGGUUCUCCCAUGACAGUAUUUUCUAGACUGCCUGCAUACCCAGGGAGAUAGAAGGAGGGUAUGUCUGUGUCUGACUGCAGAAGGGAUAACAAUGACAUGUGCUGAUUUUUGUCCAGUGUCAAGCAGGAGUUCUCCAAGCACUUCAACUGAAGCAGCCAGCAGCAGCAAAAUAAAAAUGAUGUUUUGAUACAAAUCACGUGAAAGAGAUUGUGUUCUCUGCUCCUGCAUAAUUGGAAAGGGGAAAGAACUGGAUGUGAAGCACUUACUCUACAGCAAAAUGUAUAAACACCCUGUGCACACUAUAGAGCAGAUAUUUAUGCAAUAAGAAAUAAAGACAUUUAUCUGUGUAC
ensembl:lncRNA